rnacentral:rRNA from 1 species
CCAACCUCGUGAGGGAGGCGUCGAAGGUGUGGAGGGCGAGGGGGGUGAAGUCGUAACAAGGUAGCCGUACGGGAACGUGCGGCUGGAUCACCUCCUUUCUAGGGAGA